CACGUAGUUAGCCGUGACUUUCUGGCGGGGCACCAUCAGUCAGCACCCAUUUCCUGAUGUUGCCUUUUUUCCCCCGCAACAGAGCUUUACGACCCGAAGGCCUUCUUCACUCACGCGGCAUCGCUCGUUCAGGCUUGCGCCCAUUGACGAAAAUUCCCUACUGCUGCCUCCCGCAGGAGUCUGGGCCGUGUCUCAGUCCCAAUGUGGCCGUCCGCCCUCUCAGGCCGGCUAUGCAUCAUCGUCUUGGUGGGCCUUUACCCCGCCAACCAACUAAUGCACCGCAGGUCCAUCCGCGCCCCAUCCCCGAAAGGAUGUUUCACAGAAAGAAGAUGCCUCCUUCCUGUACAUCGGGAUUUGUUCUCCGUUUCCAGAGCGUAUUCCCGGUGCGCGGGCAGGUUCCCUACGUUGUUACUCACCCGUUCGCCACUAGAGACCCGAAGGUCUCUCGUUCGACUUGCAUGUAUUAGGCAUGCCGCCAGCCGUUCAUCCUGACGCCAAGGUACUACAAACCUU
rnacentral:rRNA from 1 species